rnacentral:rRNA from 1 species
UAUGGCUGUCGUCAACUCGUGUCGUGAGAUGUUGGGUUAAGUCCCGCAACGAGCGCGACCCUCAUCCGAUGUUGCCAGCGUAAAGUCGGGAACUCUUCGGAAACUGCCCGUGUAAGCGGGUGGAAGGUGGAGAUGACGUCAAGUCAGCAUGGCCCUUACGCCUGGGGCUACACACAUGCUACAAUGGGCGCUAACAAAGGGCAGCAAUACCGCGAGGUGGAGCGAAUCUCAAAAAUGCGUCCUCAGUUCGGAUUGUAGUCUGCAACUCGACUACAUGAAGUCGGAAUCGCUAGUAACCGCAGGUCAGCUAAACUGCGGUGAAUACGUUCCCGGGCCUUGUACACACCGCCCGUA